rnacentral:rRNA from 1 species
GACGAACGCUGGCGGCGUGCUUAACACAUGCAAGUCGAACGGAAAGGCCCCUUUGGGGGUACACGAGUGGCGAACGGGAGAGUAACACGUGAGUAACCUGCCCUUGACUUCGGGAUAACUUCAGGAAACUGGGGCUAAUACCGGUUAGGAAUACUUGCUGCAUGGUGGGGGUUGGAAAGUUUCGGCGGUUUUGGAUGGACUCGCGGCUUAUCAGCUUGUUGGUGGGGUAGUUGCUUACCAAGGCUGUGACGGGUAGCCGGCCUGAGAGGGCGACCGGCCACAUUGGGACUGAGAUACGGCCCAGACUCCUACGGGAGGCAGCAGUGGGGAAUAUUGCACAAUGGGCGGAAGCCUGAUGCAGCAACGCCGCGUGCGGGAUGACGGCCUUCGGGUUGUGAACCGCUUUCAGCAGGGGCGAAGCUUGUGGUGACGGUACCUGCAGAAGAAGCACCGGCUAACUACGUG